GGGCUCACUUCGGCAGCACAUAUACUGUAACUGGAACAAUACAGAGAAGAUUAGCAUGGCCCCUGAGCAAGAAUGACAUGUAAAUAAAUGAAUCAUUCCAUGUUUUU